GGAGAAGCUCUAUCAGCUACCACCCGCACCUGGACUAAGCAAGGCUGUACACUUAAGAAGGGCAGUGUGCCAGUUUGCAUUUUUUCAUCCCAAACUAAGCAUGCUGGUAGAGCCUCUCAGGCAAAAAGAAAAACAAAAGAAAAGCCCAGCAGUAGCAAACUUCCUGAGCUAGAAAUCAAAGUUCAAAAUUAAUUAAAAUGUUCAGAAAAGGAUGUUGUAAUGAAAAAGCACAUACCAGAAACAUAUGAAGCUAAGAGUUACCUUCCACGUGGAAGAAGUACUGCCUUUACUGAGGACAACCAACCACAGAGAGCCAAUCUCUCUUUGGAUGGCAAGGUGACAUGGGACAAGCCACUACACUGAGUCCUGUCAGUUUCUGCUUUCUGGAAAACAUGUCUAAUAAUACAGCUUUUACAAAAUCUAUUACUGCAUGCUGCUGAAAAGUGCUGCAUAGCAGCACUGCUUUUAUCAUCACCCAACAGAGGGCAUUUAAGCAGAACAUGAUGACUGGCCACGUUUCUUCCACUGAGGACAGCAACUGACAGUGUUCCUCACCAAUUAUGUUUCCUCCACAUGCCUUAAAAACCAAAACCCCAACAAAUAAACCAA